ensembl:lncRNA
ACAGUUAUGUACUUACAAGAGUUUUUAUUGAAGAGGAGAUGGUCUUUUCUGUUUUUCUCCUAAUUAUGUUUUGGUUUGUUUUUAAGGAAGAGAGGAACAGAAGAUCUUUCGCUCUGCCUUCUUUUCCUAGAAUUCUCUCAAAAGGCUUAAAAGAACCCCUCCAUCCUGCAUGUCAACAGACCUUGGUAUGCAUCUCACUCACCAGUACUUAGAGACAAGGGAGGCAGUGAGACCAAGACUUCUGGUUGCCUGCAAGCCCUCUAGCUGAAAAGCAGGAUUCCUUAUUUUGAGAGACAAGCUCCUGUUGUUCACCUUCUCUCCUGGAAACUCCACGCGCCAUUCAUUCUCCUUCAAAGUUGCCAGCUUCUUUCUGACCGUGAGUUUUCUCUCCCCUCAAGUAUGUUUGCAGAGCACACUCCAAACAUUUGUGUGUUGUUGUUUUUUUUUUAACCAAUAGAAAAUAUGCAUGCAGACCCUUAUUUGUUUUUAGAUAUUGACUAACAAUCAGUAUGGGAGAUAUUAAAAAUUAAGAAGUCAGUUCAAUCAUCCAGUCUUCCAUCUGUUUUAUUUAAGCUGAGCGGCUCCUGUUGUAAUAUGCUGUCCACUCCAUCAGGCCUCCGUGUUCUCCUUUACAAUAAGCCCUCUGGUCUUCACUUCAUUUCCCAUUCAUUGACCAAACAUUUCUGCGACCUGAAGAUUGUUUGUGGGCCACCAAGUGUUCUACUGUUACUAGAAGAGUUAUCGUCGCGAAUGGAUGAAGAAAUGUAUCGGGUACCACAAAGUCCCUUGGUGCUAGUGUGGCCAUCGGGUCAUAGGUCAUCGUUGAUCAAAGAAUCCUUACAAAUGUGGAUCUGAAUUAUGCCUUAUACAUUUCUAGAUGUAGUUCUCUUAUUACUGAACUAAAUUUGGGUCUACCUGCCCAUGUUCAAGUCAAUCUACUGACAGUGGGUGGUGGUGAAGAAAAGAGCAGCAUUUAUUGCAGGGUGUCAAGCAAGGAAUCCAGUGGUUUUAAUACUCAAAAUACCUGAGCUCCGUGAAGAUCUUCAGGGAAAGGUUUUUAAAGACAGGGUGAGGGAGAGGGGUUGUGGGGUUCACAAUCCGCUCAUGGACACUUUUUCUCCUUGGUUGGUGGUGAGGUAACCAGGAGUCAACAUCAUCAACCUCUGGUUCUAAGGAACUAGGGUCCACAUGCUUGUGGGCAGCAUAUAGUUAACUUUUUCUACCUGGUGGGGGUUUUAGUAUCUACAAAGCAGUUCAAGGGACAUGGCUCAGAAUGUUACCUAUAUCCCUUGAGGAGGAAUUAAAUGUACUUGAGUGUGUUUAAUGGCUAAACUGUUAUUAUUUUGUCUUGCUUGACUGUUUUCCUCUUUUUCUGCUUUUUCUGACUUCUCUGAAACUCUGGGAAAGCCUAGGAGGCUAAACAGCCUACGAGGCUGUUUCUACGGACAAGGGGCAGAGAGAAGACACUGGAUUGAGGGGUGGGGGUUCUAUUCUGGGAAGGCCCCAUAGGCUCCUGCUCAGUUACACUCUAGGAGCCAUUUUUUUUUUUUUUUGAUAACACUGAUGUUUAAUUAUUUGAAUUCACUGUGGGGUUUUUUGUCGUCCCAUCAUAAUUUAUAUGAGAGGGCAAGACAAACACGAUUUCUGAUAUUUCAUUUAUUUAUUCAUUUUUAUUUCACAACUAUCAGUGGAAGUAGUGAUAUUAUGGGCCUUCGUACAUUUUCAAGAGUUUCUGUUCUCCUUAAGAGUAAUAAAUAAUACCUGUAAGCUAUUGGGGACACUCGUUCACUUAUGAGGUCAGGAAUGUACAGGUGUAAAAGGUGCAAUAUUUCCCCAGGAUAUUUUUUUAAGCACCAAUCAAAACUCAACCAGUAUCUUCAUUUUCAAAAGAAAUCCACUGAGCUUCUUUUGUGCUCAGAUGCUGUAACAACAGGCAUGAAACUAAUUAGAGACCAAAGACUACACUGCCAUGUUGUUGUCCCCUCUGAAUGCAGCCCUGGAGAUGGAAGGAAGCUGGAGGGGAACAUGGCUGAGUGUAUCACCCUUUAACAAGUUAGCCCCAAACAAAGCACAUUUCUGCCUGCGGUUUCUUGAAUUUUGCAAUUGUUUCCAGGGAAACAAAUGUAUAAUUUAAGCUUUUACAAUUUCCAGAUUUUCUGCUAUAGAUCCCAAGAUACAUAAACUUAGGGUUACUUCUCCAGAUCUUUACUGUAUCAACUACAU